rnacentral:rRNA from 1 species
AUUGAACGCUGGCGGCAGGCCUAACACAUGCAAGUCGAACGGUAGCACAGAGAGCUUGCUCUCGGGUGACGAGUGGCGGACGGGUGAGUAACGUCUGGGAAACUGCCCGAUGGAGGGGGUUAACUACUGGUAACGGUAGCUAAUACCGCAUAACGUCGCAAGACUAAAGUGGGGGACCUUCUGGCCUCACACCAUCGGAUGUGCUCAGAUGGGAUUAGCUAGUGGGUGGGGUAAUGGCUUACCUAGGCGACGAUCCCUAGCUGGUCUGAGAGGAUGCACAGCCACACUGGAGCUGAGACACGGUACAGACUCCUACGUGAGGAAGCAGUGGUGAAUAUUUCACAAUGGGCGCAAGCCUGAUGCAGCCAUGCCGCGUGUAUGAAGAAGGCCUUCGGGUUGUAAAGUACUUUCAGCGGGGAGGAAGGCGGUGAAGUUAAUAACUUCACCGAUUGACGUUACCCGCAGAAGAAGCACCGGCUAACUCCGUGCCAGCCGCCGCCGUAA